ACGAACGCUGGCGGCGUGCUUAACCCAUGCAAGUCGAACGAAGAGCGAUGGAAGCUUGCUUCUAUCAAUCUUCGUGGCGAACGGGUGAGUAACGCGUAAUCAACCUGCCCUUCAGAGGGGGACAACAGUUGGAAACGACUGCUAAUACCGCAUACGAUCUAAUCUCGGCAUCGAGGAUAGAUGAAAGGUGGCCUCUACAUGUAAGCUAUCACUGAAGGAGGGGAUUGCGUCUGAUUAGCUAGUUGGAGGGGUAACGGCCCACCAAGGCGAUGAUCAGUAGCCGGUCUGAGAGGAUGAACGGCCACAUUGGGACUGAGACACGGCCCAGACUCCUACGGGAGGCAGCAGUGGGGAAUCUUCCGCAAUGGACGAAAGUCUGACGGAGCAACGCCGCGUGAGUGAUGACGGCCUUCGGGUUGUAAAGCUCUGUUAAUCGGGACGAAAGGCCUUCUUGCGAAUAGUGAGAAGGAUUGACGGUACCGGAAUAGAAAGCCACGGCUAACUACGUG
rnacentral:rRNA from 1 species